GACGAACGCUGGCGGCGUGCUUAACACAUGCAAGUCGAACGGAAAGGCCCUGCUUUUGUGGGGUGCUCGAGUGGCGAACGGGUGAGUAACACGUGAGUAACCUGCCCUUGACUUUGGGAUAACUUCAGGAAACUGGGGCUACUACCGUAUAGGAGCUCCUGCUGCGUGGUGGGGGUUGGAAAGUUUCGGCGGUUGGGGAUGGACUCGCGGCUUAUCGGCUUGUUGGUGGGGUAGUGGCUUACCAAGCCUUUGACGGGUAGCCGGCCUGAGAGGGUGGCCGGCCACAUUGGGACUGCGAUACGGCGCAGACUCCUACGGGAGGCAGCAGUGGGGAAUAUUGCACAAUGGGCGGAAGCCUGAGGCAGCAACGCCGCGUGCGGGAUGACGGCCUUCGGGUUGUAAACCGCUUUCGCCUGUGACGAAGCGUGAGUGACGGUAAUGGGUAAAGAAGCACCGGCUAACUACGUG
rnacentral:rRNA from 1 species